rnacentral:rRNA from 1 species
GACGAACGCUGUCGGCGUGCUUAACACAUGCAAGUCGAACGGAAAGGCCCUGCUUUUGUGGGGUGCUCGAGUGGCGAACGGGUGAGUAACACGUGAGUAACCUGCCCUUGACUUUGGGAUAACUUCAGGAAACUGGGGCUAAUACCGGAUAGGAGCUCCUGCUGCAUGGUGGGGGUUGGAAAGUUUCGGCGGUUGGGGAUGGACUCGCGGCUUAUCAGCUUGUUGGUGGGGUAGUGGCUUACCAAGGCUUUGACGGGUAGCCGGCCUGAGAGGGUGACCUGCCACAUUGGGACUGAGAUACGGCCCAGACUCCUACGGGAGGCAGCAGUGGGGAAUAUUGCACAAUGGGCGGAAGCCUGAUGCAGCAACGCCGCGUGCGGGAUGACGGCCUUCGGGUUGUAAACCGCUUUCGCCUGUGACGAAGCGUGAGUGACGGUAAUGGGUAAAGAAGCACCGGCUAACUACGUGCCAGCAGCCGCGGUGAUACGUAGGGUGCGAGCGUUGUCCGGAUUUAUUGGGCGUAAAGGGCUCGUAGGUGGUUGAUCGCGUCGGAAGUGUAAUCUUGGGGCUUAACCCUGAGCGUGCUUUCGAUACGGGUUGACUUGAGGAAGGUAGGGGAGAAUGGAAUUCCUGGUGGAGCGGUGGAAUGCGCAGAUAUCAGGAGGAACACCAGUGGCGAAGGCGGUUCUCUGGGCCUUUCCUGACGCUGAGGAGCGAAAGCGUGGGGAGCGAACAGGCUUAGAUACCCUGGUAGUCCACGCUGUAAACGGUGGGUACUAGGUGUGGGGUCCAUUCCACGGGUUCCGUGCCGUAGCUAACGCUUUAAGUACCCCGCCUGGGGAGUACGGCCGCAAGGCUAAAACUCAAAGGAAUUGACGGGGCCCCGCACAAGCGGCGGAGCAUGCGGAUUAAUUCGAUGCAACGCGUAGAACCUUACCUGGGUUUGACAUGGAUCGGGAGCGCUCAGAGAUGGGUGUGCCUCUUUUGGGGUCGGUUCACAGGUGGUGCAUGGCUGUCGUCAGCUCGUGUCGUGAGAUGUUGGGUUAAGUCCCGCAACGAGCGCAACCCUUGUUCACUGUUGCCAGCACGUUAUGGUGGGGACUCAGUGGAGACCGCCGGGGUCAACUCGGAGGAAGGUGGGGAUGACGUCAAGUCAUCAUGCCCCUUAUGUCCAGGGCUUCACGCAUGCUACAAUGGCUGGUACAGAGAGUGGCGAGCCUGUGAGGGUGAGCGAAUCUCGGAAAGCCGGUCUCAGUUCGGAUUGGGGUCUGCAACUCGACCUCAUGAAGUCGGAGUCGCUAGUAAUCGCAGAUCAGCAACGCUGCGGUGAAUACGUUCCCGGG